GGUAGCGUGGCCGAGAGGUCUAAGGCGUGAGUUUUAGGCACUCAUCAGAAAUGGCGUGGGUUCGAAUCCCACCGCUACCA